AGACUCGAGCUUGCCGGCGUCGGGCGAGCUCGAGGCUCACCGGAUCUGGAGAGCUCGAGCUCGCCCGACGCCAGUGAGCUCAAGUCU
rnacentral:pre_miRNA from 1 species